AUUGAACGCUGGCGGCAUGCUUUACACAUGCAAGUCGAACGGUAACAGGCCGCAAGGUGCUGACGAGUGGCGAACGGGUGAGUAAUGCAUCGGAACGUGCCCAGUCGUGGGGGAUAACGCAGCGAAAGCUGCGCUAAUACCGCAUACGAUCUGUGGAUGAAAGCGGGGGACCGUAAGGCCUCGCGCGAUUGGAGCGGCCGAUGUCAGAUUAGGUAGUUGGUGGGGUAAAGGCUCACCAAGCCGACGAUCUGUAGCUGGUCUGAGAGGACGACCAGCCACACUGGGGCUGAGACACGGCCCAGACUCCUACGGGAGGCAGCAGUGGGGAAUUUUGGACAAUGGGGGCAACCCUGAUCCAGCAAUGCCGCGUGCAGGAAGAAGGCCUUCGGGUUGUAAACUGCUUUUGUACGGAACGAAACGGCUCUGGUUAAUACCCGGGGCUAAUGACGGUACCGUAAGAAUAAGCACCGGCUAGCUACGUGCCAGCCGCCGCCGUAA
rnacentral:rRNA from 1 species